AUUAACUGAACACAUACAGGUGCGGCUGUUGAUGAUUUUGUACUAAUUUAGAGUAAAGUUUGAAACAAACACGUGUGACACUGCUCCUUGAAGAUAAACGGUGUUAUUGACUGAAACUCAAGUUGUAUUUUUAACACAAAAUAAAUUGACUGGAGUAUUUAAUUAAAUGCAAAAAACUAUGGACUGUUGUGCAAAGUGAGCUCGCAGUAAUAAGAGAAGAGGCAUCAACACAGCAAAAGGUGUUAUUUUGGAAAACACGGAUAUGGAGUGCUUCAUGCAUGAAAAAAAAGGCCUUCCAAACUACCAAAGCACCCAUCCUUGCUCAACCACCCCAUCCCAUCUCAUCCCAUCCCAUCCCCCUCCAAUUCUUCAAUCCAUCAUCAGCGCUGUCUUUAGUGUGAAUAAGAGAGGCAGCAGAACUGUGGAAGAAUUCCUCCUGUGCAGGUGCAGUACACAUGCGGUGGCCUCUUUCUGCGCGUUGCCGGCAGCAUGACUGAGCCUCCAGAGUGUCCCCGCGUGAUCCAGUGAUCGAUGCAAAACCUCUGGAGGUUCAGCUUUAAGGGCAGCUUCAGGAGCCUCUGAGCCCGAAUCAUCUCUGAUAGGGUAAAGUGGAUCAAGAUCCUGUCCUGCAAUCCAGACAAAGGCAGAAGAGCUGGAGCAGAAGACUCACAGCAGCAUCUCCAGUCCUGAUUUUAUCAUCCCGGUGGUCUUUCCCCUGUGAUACCAUUUUGUUGCCAGUCUUUGUUCCAACCCCCCUUUCCUCUUCUUCCACCUCCCUCCCGGCUCAUGUUGAACCACCUGCUGCGUUUGCCUCCAAACACCAUCCGCCCACCGCCACUACCCCCAUGCCUGCGAGAGUUUGUCCCUCAUUAUCGGUCCUUACUGCACCCCGACCAACCUUCCCGCCCAGCAUGGUGUCAGAGCUUCGAUUGCACCAUGGGAGACACCCAUAAACAGGCUGUCACACUAUAACAGGUUCAAUAAGAACACACAAUCACCUCAUGUCAUCGGCAUGCAGACAACAUGGGAACUUUGGAGUCCACAUGGUUUUUAUGUCUUCAACGUAUGUCCAUGUGAGGGGACUAGCAGACUGUACAAAAAGAUGGAUGAUAUGGCAGUUCCUCAAAAGUGAAGCCAAAAAAUAUAAAGGAUCUCCCACUGACUGGCUGCAGUAUAGAACCUGUCUCUCUAAUGUUAACAGAUGUGGAAUGGGUCACAGUAUAAACCAUAGUGGUUCAUUUAAA